AGGCGUAUGACGGGCCGGUAGCGGCGGUAAUCGGGAGGGUCCGGUCGGUGGCGGGAAUUAUUGGGCUUAAAGGGCUCGUAGGCGGUUUGUUGCGUCGGGAGUGAAAUCAUCGGGCUUAACUUGGUGCUUGCUUUCGAUACGGGCAGACUUGAGGCAUGCAGGGGAGAAUGGAAUUCCUGGUGUAGCGGUGAAAUGCGCAGAUAUCAGGAGGAACACCGGUGGCGAAGGCGGUUCUCUGGGCAUGUUCUGACGCUGAGGAGCGAAAGUGUGGGGAGCGAACAGGAUUAGAUACCCCAGUAC
rnacentral:rRNA from 1 species